GAUGAACGCUGGCGGCGUGCCUAAUACAUGCAAGUCGAGCGAACAGAUGAGGAGCUUGCUCCUCUGACGUUAGCGGCGGACGGGUGAGUAACACGUGGAUAACCUACCUAUAAGACUGGGAUAACUUCGGGAAACCGGAGCUAAUACCGGAUAAUAUAUUGAACCGCAUGGUUCAAUAGUGAAAGACGGUUUUGCUGUCACUUAUAGAUGGAUCCGCGCCGCAUUAGCUAGUUGGUAAGGUAACGGCUUACCAAGGCGACGAUGCGUAGCCGACCUGAGAGGGUGAUCGGCCACACUGGAACUGAGACACGGUCCAGACUCCUAAGGGAGGCAGCAGUAGGGAAUCUUCCGCAAUGGGCGAAAGCCUGACGGAGCAACGCCGCGUGAGUGAUGAAGGUCUUCGGAUCGUAAAACUCUGUUAUUAGGGAAGAACAAAUGUGUAAGUAACUAUGCACGUCUUGACGGUACCUAAUCAGAAAGCCACGGCUAACUACGUG
rnacentral:rRNA from 1 species